rnacentral:rRNA from 1 species
AACGAACGCUGGCGGCAGGCUUAACACAUGCAAGUCGAACGCCCCGCAAGGGGAGUGGCAGACGGGUGAGUAACGCGUGGGAAUCUACCCAGAUCUACGGAACAACAGUUGGAAACGACUGCUAAUACCGUAUACGCCCUACGGGGGAAAGAUUUAUCGGAUUUGGAUGAGCCCGCGUUGGAUUAGCUAGUUGGUGGGGUAAUGGCCUACCAAGGCGACGAUCCAUAGCUGGUCUGAGAGGAUGAUCAGCCACACGGGGACUGAGACACGGCCCAGACUCCUACGGGAGGCAGCAGUGCGGAAUAUUGGACAAUGGGCGCAAGCCUGAUCCAGCCAUGCCGCGUGAGUGAUGAAGGCCCUAGGGUUGUAAAGCUCUUUCACCGAUGAAGAUAAUGACGGUAGUCGGAGAAGAAGCCCCGGCUAACUUCGUGCCAGCCGCCGCCGUAA